CAGAUUGGGCUGUUUAUCUAGCAUGUGCAGUCUUGUCCCUGCCUGAUAUGGAGCUCUCACAGUACGUUGGGAGAUGUCUGUUCUUCUUCAUUCUGGCAUUAAUUUUUGAUAUUGGUGGUCUGGUCAUCUUUUUCCUGGGGAUUUUUGCUUCGUUCACUUUCAGCAAUUUCUUUGUUUUGACUGGACCUAUAAUAAUAUUCCUCAGCCUGAUUUUCUGGAUAUUUUGGUAUCUAGGAAACAUAACUGUUUCUGACGAUGAGUUGCUUUUACCAGAAUAGGACAGACUGAGAAACGCAGGAGAGGGGACCCAUGUUCCCUGAUGCUUCAGAGAGUGGGAUGCAGAUCACCCUGAGCCAAACUGGAGAAAUGGCUAUGAUAGAUGGUAAAUAGAUAUCUAUAGGAAUGAACAGAUGGACAAUCUAAUCACAAAGCAGGAGCAAUUCAGUGUUCCUCUUCGGAAAAACUGUUAGUAGCAUUUUAAUUAUUUGGGAAAAUAAUAACAGACAACAGAUGGCAACUCAUCAAGACAUUGACCUUCACCAAGGGACAUUAAGCUAGCUUGAUGAAAUGGGAUGCACACUCUUCACGCAUACUGGAUGAAGUUCCACAAGUACACAGAAUUUGCCUCUCAGUGUCAUUCAAGCACCCGGCACCAACACCGCUGAGAGGUGGCAGACAUGAAGGGCACCACGUCGCUUGUAAUUAUUAUUCUGAAAGAGUACAAGUCUGGCAUCAGAUCAUCUGGCAUUCUCCGCACUGCCAUUAUCCUCUCUCUCCCUCUGUCCUGCUUCAACAAGCAAAAGUUGCCUGCCAAGUAAAAGCAGUCUGGUGGGGAAAAAAGUGCAUAUUGUUCACCACACAGCUAUAAUGUUCAGAGUUCUGUGUAAUAUAUCAAACACAAACAGAAAGGCAGGCUUCCAGGAAUGAAUUAGGCAUAUGGGGCUUGUGGAUGUAUGGCCUUAAUUUGGUUCAGUGACAGUCUGAUAUUGUCUUGCCCAUUAUAAAGUCUAACAAUUCACUUGUAAGCAAUCUCAAAAGGGAAUCACCUUAAAUGGGAAACAAGUUAUGUAAAAUCCAUAUACAGGAAAUGUACAAAUAUUGGUUGACUGCGUGCAUAAUGUUGUAAUUCUAGAAAAGGAAACAAAGACUAAAUUGGUCUAUCUGGUCUACAUAUAUUUUUACCUUAAAAUCUUACGUUUUAAAAAGUAAAAAAAAAAAAAAUACAGUUUGCCUCGGGGGCCCUACACAAGUGGAGCACCGAAACAGUGAUAACUGCGCAAUCAAGAUUCUGUCGCAAAAAGGACGUCGAUUCUGCCGAUUAUAUUUGAAGUGUACAACCAGGAGGCAGACAAUUUACGCCAUCUACUGUUGUAUGUGCAUAAUGACAUUUAAAUUCUACUUCUCGAAUAUAAGACAACCCGUGUUUUUAAAUGCAGGUUUUUGAGAGAAAGAAAAACAAACUUAUAUUCGGGACAAUACGGUAUUUAAGAAUAUUUCUGUGGUGUCAGCUGAGUAUUAAGGUGGAUGAAGGGACCGGAAUGAAGCUUCUCUCUCCUGCCUAAUGGUGAAAAAGUUGCUGUCUUAAAAACAUGACCAUGUUCAAUAUUUAUCCAACCUCCUAUGUAAAAAUAAGAUUAUGUCUAUACUAAAGCUUGUAAAUAAAAUGAAAUAAUGAAUGCAAAAAG